GACGAACGCUGGCGGCGUGCUUAACACAUGCAAGUCGAACGGAAAGGCCCUGCUUGCAGGGUACUCGAGUGGCGAACGGGCGAGUAACACGUGGGUGAUCUGCCCUGCACUUCGGGAUAAGCCUGGGAAACUGGGUCUAAUACCGGAUAGGAGCCAUUUUUAGUGUGAUGGUUGGAAAGUUUUUUCGGUGUAGGAUGAGCUCGCGGCCUAUCAGCUUGCUGGUGGGGUAAUGGCCUACCAAGGCGGCGACGGGUAGCCGGCCUGAGAGGGUGGACGGCCACAUUGGGACUGAGGUGCGGCCCAGACUCCUACGGGAGGCAGCAGUGGGGAAUAUUGCCCAAUGGGCGCAAGCCUGAUGCAGCGACGCCGCGUGGGGGAUGACGGCCUUCGGGUUGUAAACUCCUUUCGCUAGGGACGAAGCUUUUUGUGACGGUACCUAGAUAAGAAGCACCGGCUAACUACGUG
rnacentral:rRNA from 1 species